AUUGAACGCUGGCGGCAGGCCUAACACAUGCAAGUCGAACGAGUGGCGGACGGGUGAGUAAUGUCUGGACAACUGCCUGAUGGAGGGAGCUAACUGCUGGAAACGGUAGCUACUACCGCAUACCGUAGGAUGUGCCCAGAUGGGAUGAGCUAGUAGGUGGGGUAACGGCUCACCUGGACGACGAUCCCUAGCUGGUCUGAGAGGAUGACCGGCCACACGGGAACUGAGACACGGUCCAGACUCCUACGGGAGGCAGCAGUGGGGAAUAUUGCACAAUGGGCGCAAGCCUGAUGCAGCCAUGCCGCGUGGAUGAAGAAGGCCUUCGGUUUGUAAAGUACUUUCAGCGGUGAGGCGUUACCCGCAGAAGAAGCACCGGCUAACGCCGUGCCAGCAGCCGCGGUAAUAC
rnacentral:rRNA from 1 species